rnacentral:rRNA from 1 species
GCGCGAAAACUUUACAAUGCCGGCAACGGCGAUAAGGGGACCUCGAGUGCCAGGUUACAAAUCUGGCUGUCGCGAUGCCUAAAAAGCAUUGCAUAGCAAGGGCCGGGCAAGACCGGUGCCAGCCGCCGCGGUAACACCGGCGGCUCGAGUGGUAACCGUUAUUAUUGGGUCUAAAGGGUCUGUAGCCGGCCGGGUAAGUCUCUUGGGAAAUCCAGCAGCUUAACUGUUGGGCUUUCAGGAGAUACUGCCUGGCUCGAGGCCGGGAGAGGUGAGAGGUACUUCAGGGGUAGGGGUGAAAUCUUGUAAUCCUUGAAGGACCACCAGUGGCGAAGGCGUCUCACCAGAACGGACCUGACGGCAAGGGACGAAAGCUAGGGGCACGAACC